GACAGAGGUGCCGAGCGUUAGGCGGAAUCACUGGGCUUAAAGCGUGUGUAGGCGGAUGGGUAAGUACCUUGUGAAAUCCCACGGCUCAACCGUGGAAGUGCAUUCGAAACUACAGGGCUAGAGUUCUGGAGAGGAAGGUGGAAUGCUUGGUGUAGAGGUGAAAUUCGUAGAUAUCAAGCGGAACACCGGUGGCGAAGGCGGCCUUCUGGACAGUAACUGACGCUGAGACGCGAAAGCGUGGGGAGCAAACAGG
rnacentral:rRNA from 1 species